GAUGAACGCUGGCGGCGUGCUUAACACAUGCAAGUCGAACGAAGAAAACUUGAUUGAGAGCUUCGGCAGGAUUUCAUUUUUUCUUAGUGGCGGACGGGUGAGUAACGUGUGGGCAACCUGCCCUAUACUGGGGAAUAAUCACUGGAAACGGUGACUAAUACCGCAUGUCAUCACCGGAGGGCAUCCUCUGGCGAAAAAAGGAGCAAUUCGGUAUAGGAUGGGCCCGCAUCUGAUUAGCUAGUUGGUGAGAUAACAGCCCACCAAGGCGACGAUCAGUAGCCGACCUGAGAGGGUGAUCGGCCACAUUGGGACUGAGACACGGCCCAAACUCCUAAGGGAGGCAGCAGUGGGGAAUAUUGCACAAUGGGGGAAACCCUGAUGCAGCAACGCCGCGUGAAGGAUGAAGGUUUUCGGAUCGUAAACUUCUAUCAACAGGGAAGAAACAAAUGACGGUACCUGAAUAAGAAGCCCCGGCUAACUACGUGCCAGCCGCCGCGGUAAUAC
rnacentral:rRNA from 1 species